rnacentral:tRNA from 1 species
CGCCCAUUGGUCUAACGGCUAUGACGCAACAUUUUCACUGUUGAGACACGAGUUCGAUUCUCGUAUGGGUGA